rnacentral:lncRNA from 1 species
CAAUGCCUUAGUUCUUUCCAACCCACCUGAACCAGUUAGUACCACAAAGGAUCAGGACAUUAUUGACUUACUCAGUAUCACUUUGUCAAUGUCACCAUCUCCACAGACAAGUUAUGCACCACCUCCACAGACAAGUUAUGCACCACCUCCACAGACAACAUAUGCACCUUCAGCAUCUAGCCAAGGCAUGCAUCAGACACCUGCUCCAUCCAGAACAGAAGGGUUUUCUUAUGCUUCCCAAACAUAUCCGGGAAACUUGUCAUACAACAGUUAUGUUGUUCCUUGGG